rnacentral:tRNA from 1 species
UCUCUGGUGGUCCAGUAGCUAAGACACUGAGCUGCCAGUGAAGGGGGCCCAGGUUCGAUCCCUGGUCAGGGAA